rnacentral:rRNA from 1 species
GUGCGUAGGCGGUCAAGCAAGUCCGGGGUGAAAGACCGAGGCUCAACCUCGGGGUGGCCUUGGAAACUGUUUGACUUGAGUGCUGGAGAGGCAAGGGGAAUUCCACGUGUAGCGGUGAAAUGCGUAGAUAUGUGGAGGAAUACCAGUGGCGAAGGCGCCUUGCUGGACAGUGACUGACGCUGAGGUACGAAAGCGUGGGGAGCAAACAGGAUUAGAUACCCUGGUAGUCCACGCCGUAAACGAUGAGUGCUAGGUGUUGGGGGGGUUACCCUUCAGUGCCGAAGGAAACCCAAUAAGCACUCCGCCUGGGGAGUACGGUCGCAAGACUGAAACUCAAAGGAAUUGACGGGGGCCCGCACAAGCAGUGGAGCAUGUGGUUUAAUUCGAAGCAACGCGAAGAACCUUACCAGGGCUUGACAUCCCCCUGACAGCGCUAGAGAUAGCGUUUCCCUUCGGGGCAGGGGAGACAGGUGGUGCAUGGUUGUCGUCAGCUCGUGUCGUGAGAUGUUGGGUUAAGUCCCGCAACGAGCGCAACCCUUGACCUGUGUUACCAGCGCGUAAAGGCGGGGACUCACAGGUGACUGCCGGCGUAAGUCGGAGGAAGGUGGGGAUGACGU